AAUAAGUUGAGGUGGAAGGCAAUUGUUUUUCUUGAUGUAUUGUUGAUUGUAGUUCCAGGGAGAGUUAGGAGGUGGGGGUAAAUGUGAUGAAGGUAAAUUGGUGGGGGGUAAAACAGGAGGGGGUGGUGGUAAACUUGGGAGAGGAGGGAAACUUUUUGGGUCAUAAAAGUUGGGGGGAGGCAUUGUCUGGUGGUGGGAUUGGAGGGUGGGAUUAUCGUUAUUCUUGUUGCUGGGUUUGUGGGAUUAUUUAGGUGGUCUGAUUGGAUGUGGUGAGGGUAAUUGUGGUGAAGGUAAAUUGGUGGGGGGUAAAACAGGAGGAGGUAAAUUUGCAAGAGGAGGGAAAGGGAUGGUGGGGAGAGGCAGGAUCUGAUGGUAGGAUUGGGAGGUGGGAUUAGGUACAUUAUUUCUGUUACUAGGUCUUUGGACAUUUCUAUUCAUAGGUUGUGGAAAGUUGAAUGACUGGGGUAAACAAGAUGAUGGUAGAUUUGUUGGAGGUAAAUAUGGUGAGGAGAACUGUUGUGAGGAAAAGUCGGAUGGGGAUGGAAAAUUUGGUUGAGGGAAUGUUGAAUUAUGGUAGCCAAAGGAAGAUGGUGCUUGAGGUAGUUUUGGGGGUUGAAUUUAUUAAAAAUUGGGGUGUUUUGCAAAAAUCUUAACUCCAGACUGAUUUAAAUGUUUCUUGUCGUAGAGGUGGUGUCUCGAGGGGAAAAGGUUGUUGUGCCCAAUGAAGAGAACACUGGGUUUUCU